AUGGAGGCCGGCUCCGAUGCCCACACAGAGCUCUCCGGCAGGGGCCAACUCCUCCCUCGCACCGACCAUCGCGUCGUCUUCCUCUCCGGCCCCUUCCGCGCCGUCAUGGACGCCACCGAGCUAGCCCUCGGCCUCGUCUCCGGGUGUAGGCUGAAGCAGCAAGUCUACUCUAGUUGCUUAUUACUUAGUGGCUUCUUGGAUAGGAUCAAGCACCCAUUGGGGCCUCUACCAGUAAUCAACCAACCAGCAGCAGCAGAAAAAAGGCAACGGCGGGGGAGGAGAAGCACCAACGACCCUGGGUGGGGAAGGAGCAGCGGUGGGGGAGAAGCAUCAACGACCCUGAGCGGAGGAUUUGCUCGAGUUGCCUGA
rnacentral:rRNA from 1 species